UAUAUCCAUUUUGAAUUGUAUCUGUAACAACAAACCGUAGUAUAAGUCAAGGAGUAUGAAUACUUUCUGAAGGCCUUCUCCAUAUUAUCUGAGACUGUAAAUGUCACCAAUGUGUGAACAUGGCUAAAUACAAAUCUCAUCUGGAUAUCAUUACCAGAGCCUGGAAAUCCUACUGGUAAUAUCCCAGCCCAGCCCUGUCUGACUGAGGGCUGAAACCUAGGCUGGGAGGGGGCUCAGCUCUGAGACAUAGUAUGAACUGGUUUCCAGAGCAACAUUAAACCAAUAGUGUUUUGUUAGUCAAAGACUAGACGUUAUCUGUGUCUAGGAUACUCCGCCCAAUAACACUGUAACUGGGGGGGGGGGCAAACUCUAAAGGCUGGUUUCCCAGAUACAGAUUCAUCCUAGUUCUGGACUAAAAAAGGUAUUUCUUCAUUGACUAUUGAAUUCUCCAUUAGACCAGGACAAGGCUUAAUCUGUGCCUGGGAAACCAGCCCAAUGACACAGGGUCUGUAUUCCCAGACACCAAUUAAGCCUAUAUUCCUGGACUAAAAAGCUAUUUAAAGAGAGAUUCUUAAAUUUAGCAUGCUUUUUAGUUCAGGACCAGGCUUAAUCUGUGUCCUGGAAACCGGCCCAAUAACACAGUAACUGAAUUUCUUUAUCUCUGGUACAGGCAGCAAGUUUGUGUGUCUAUAUCUCUGGUACAGGCAGCAGGUUUGUGUGUCUAUAUCUCUGGUACAGGCAGCAAGUUUGUGUGUCUAUAUCUCUGGUACAGGCAGCAGGUUUGUGUGUCUAUAUCUCUGGUACAGGCAGAUAGUUCUAUAGUGAGGUGCGGUAGACAGCAGGUUUCAAUAGUGAGGUGCAGUAGACAGCAGGUUUCUAUAGUGAGGUGCAGUAGACAGCAGGUUUCUAUAGUGAGGUGCAGUAGAAAGCAGGUUUCUAUAGUGAGGUGCAGUAGACAGCAGGUUUCUAUAGUGAGGUGCAGUAGACAGCAGGUUUCUAUAGUGAGGUGCAGUAGACAGCAGGUUUCU
ensembl:lncRNA